AUUGAACGCUAGCGGGAUGCCUUACACAUGCAAGUCGAACGGAGUGGCGAACGGGUGAGUAAUGUAACGGAACGUGCCCAGUAGCGGGGGAUAACUACCCGAAAGCGUAGCUAAUACCGCAUACUAUUGGACCGGCCGAUAUCGGAUUAGCUAGUUGGUGGGGUAACGGCUCACCAGGGCGAGGCGACGUAGCUGGUUUGAGGGGACGACCAGCCACACGGGGACGGAGAAAGGGCCCAGACUCCUACGGAGGGCAGCAGUGGGGAAUUUUGGAAAAGGGGGGAAACCCGGAUCCAGCAAGCCGGCGUGUGCGAUGAAGGCCUUCGGGUUGUAAAGCACUUUUGGCAGGAAAGCGGUACCUGCAGAAUAAGCCCCGGCUAACUACGUGCCAGCCGCCGCGGUAAUAC
rnacentral:rRNA from 1 species